UUAUUAGUCAUCAUCAUGAAACAGUUUUGAGAGAUAAACAACUACACAGAAUAUAAGGUGUGACAAAGUUCCUCCUCUAGCUUGGUGGGUCCUGCACUUAUUUGGCAGAUUUGCCCACCUUA